rnacentral:rRNA from 1 species
AGGGAUGACGCCUUACGAGUAGUAAACCUCCUUUCCAGCAGGGAAGAAGCUUUUAUGACCGGUACCCUGCAAGAGAAGCCCGGCUAACUUCGUGCCAGCAGCCGCGGUAAUACGUAGGCCGCAAGCGUUGUCCGGAAUUAUUGGGCGUAAAGAGCUCGUAGGCGGUUUGUCGCGUUCUCCUGUGAAAGCCCCGGGGCUAACUCCGGGUGUGCAGUGGGUACGGGCAGACUAGAGUGCAGUAGGGGAGACUGGAAUUCCUGGUGUAGCGGUGAAAUGCGCAGAUAUCAGGAGGAACACCGAUGGCGAAGGCAGGUCUCUGGGCUGUUACUGACGCUGAGGAGCGAAAGCAUGGGGAGCGAACAGGAUUAGAUACCCUGGUAGUCCAUGCCGUAAACGUUGGGCACUAGGUGUGGGGGGCAUUCCACGUUCUCCGCGCCGUAGCUAACGCAUUAAGUGCCCCGCCUGGGGAGUACGGCCGCAAGGCUAAAACUCAAAGGAAUUGACGGGGGCCCGCACAAGCGGCGGAGCAUGCGGAUUAAUUCGAUGCAACGCGAAGAACCUUACCAAGGCUUGACAUGCACCAGAUCGUUCCAGAGAUGGUUCUUCCCUUUUGGGUUGGUGUACAGGUGGUGCAUGGUUGUCGUCAGCUCGUGUCGUGAGAUGUUGGGUUAAGUCCCGCAACGAGCGCAACCCUCGUUCCAUGUUGCCAGCACGCUCCCUUUGGGGGUGGUGGGGACUCAUGGGAGACUGCCGGGGUCAACUCGGAGGAAGGUGGGGAUGACGUCAAAUCAUCAUGCCCCUUAUGUCUUGGGCUUCACGCAUGCUACAAUGGCCGGUACAAAGGGUUGCGAUACUGUGAGGUGGAGCUAAUCCCAAAAAGCCGGUGUCAGUUCGGAUUUUUUUCCCCCACUCGAAAUUGU